UGAACGCUGGCGGCGUGCUUAACACAUGCAAGUCGAACGGAAAGGCUCCUGCUUGCAGGGGUACUCGAGUGGCGAACGGGUGAGUAACACGUGGGUGAUCUGCCCUGCACUUCGGGAUAAGCCUGGGAAACUGGGUCUAAUACCGGAUAGGACGAUGGUUUGGAUGCCAUUGUGGAAAGUUUUUCGGUGUGGGAUGAGCUCGCGGCCUAUCAGCUUGUUGGUGGGGUAAUGGCCUACCAAGGCGUCGACGGGUAGCCGGCCUGAGAGGGUGUACGGCCACAUUGGGACUGAGAUACGGCCCAGACUCCUACGGGAGGCAGCAGUGGGGAAUAUUGCACAAUGGGCGCAAGCCUGAUGCAGCGACGCCGCGUGGGGGAUGACGGCCUUCGGGUUGUAAACUCCUUUCGCUAGGGACGAAGCGCAAGUGACGGUACCUGGAGAAGAAGCACCGGCUAACUACGUG
rnacentral:rRNA from 1 species